rnacentral:misc_RNA from 1 species
UAACCCUCACUCUGUUGAUUUAAUAGUCACCAGAUUGGAUUUGGAUGCUGCUGUUGCCAGCUCAUCCUGAAAUGCAUUAGCUAGUGCCCUUUAGAGUGCUAGGCAUGGUGUGAUAAUUAUCUGCGCCGUCGCCCAAAGCCUCUUCUGUGGAGCGCUGCUUCUAGACGUCCCACUGGGACAAUGACACAAAG